rnacentral:rRNA from 1 species
AGCCUUGAUGUGUAGGAUAGGUGGGAGGCUUUGAAGUGUGGACGCCAGUCUGCAUGGAGCCGGCCUUGAAAUACCACCCUUUAAUGUUUGAUGUUCUAACGUGGACCCGUGAUCCGGGUUGCGGACAGUGUCUGGUGGGUAGUUUGACUGGGGCGGUCUCCUCCUAAAGAGUAACGGAGGAGCACGAAGGUUGGCUAAUCCUGGUCGGACAUCAGGAGGUUAGUGCAAUGGCAUAAGCCAGCUUGACUGCGAGCGUGACGGCGCGAGCAGGUGCGAAAGCAGGUCAUAGUGAUCCGGUGGUUCUGAAUGGAAGGGCCAUCGCUCAACGGAUAAAAGGUACUCCGGGGAUAACAGGCUGAUACCGCCCAAGAGUUCAUAUCGACGGCGGUGUUUGGCACCUCGAUGUCGGCUCAUCACAUCCUGGGGCUGAAGUAGGUCCCAAGGGUAUGGCUGUUCGCCAUUUAAAGUGGUACGCGAGCUGGGUUUAGAACGUCGUGAGACAGUUC